ensembl:lncRNA
GGAUAAGAAUGUGCCUGGGGCCAGCAGGGAGGUAGGUGUGUGUAUGUUACUGGAGAAGCUGCAUGAGUCUUGUAUCUGGCAAUACAAUGAAUUUGCUUGUUUUAGUGUCUUUCCCCCUGUUCCUUACUGUAAGCAAUCAGAUGAAACCUUGUCAAUGCUGUAAGAAAUUUGUCCCACAGUAAUGAGAGGGUCCCGUUCUCCCAGCUAGCAUCCGAGGGCAAAGUGCCAACCUCUGAUCCGCACCACGCGUCGCUUCGUGGCUCUCUGCUGUGCGCUCAGGCUGAGCUGCUGCCAUUGAUGUCUGUGCAAGGAGUAAGGGCAGACUGUGCAACUGGGAGACUUUUUGCCCUACAACUGAAGCCCUUCUGCAUGCUCUGUGCAAUGGUCAGUGACUUGGAGGGUGCUCAGAAGCCUGAUAACAUUGCUGCUUUUGCCUUCAUGAACCUCAUGGGGAUGAGGCAAGUGGAUAUUUGCCCUGCCAUGGCAGAAAGUGGGCUCUGGCAAGGUCUACUCUGUACAGAGAUCUUUGGAGACAGCACUGGGAGCCAGACUGGGAAUAGAAACUAAGGGCACAAUUUUUCUUGCAGUGGAAAGCGGAUCCAGAACGGAGCAGCAGAAGAGAAGAGGCAGAAAAUAUGCGACCGCUUUCAGUGUGGAGAUCCAGUCCCCCCAGAGUGAUGGUAUCUGCAACAGAGGGUGAUUUUCUCUCAGAAAUUCUUGAGAUUUUGCAGCAGUUUCAGUGAGAGUUAUCUGCCAGAUUGUAAGGUUUAUUUUACACUAUAAAGUUCAUCUGAGAAAUGAAAAAUAACACGGAUUUACUUUCACUUCAUUUUUCCUUUUCAUCCUCUUCUCAGCCAAGCAUGAACCUCUGCCUCUCUUUGUUUCUCACAAAAGGGUUGGAGCUGGUUUCCAGCAAUUAUUCUGAAGCAAAGCAGAUCAGCAUAGCAAAGUUAAAGCAAUAAAAAUAACAGUACAGACA